rnacentral:rRNA from 1 species
AAGAAUCGAUGACGGUACCUGAUGAAUCAGCAUCGGCUAACUCCGUGCCAGCAGCCGCGGUAAUACGGAGGAUGCAAGCGUUAUCCGGAAUUAUUGGGCGUAAAGCGUCCGUAGGUGGUUUAUCAAGUCUGCUGUCAAAGCGUGCGGCUUAACCGCAUAAGGGCAGUGGAAACUGAUGAACUAGAGUGCGAUAGGGGUAACAGGAAUUCCCAGUGUAGCGGUGAAAUGCGUAGAUAUUGGGAAGAACACCAGCGGCGAAAGCGUGUUACUGGGUCUGCACUGACACUGAGGGACGAAAGCUAGGGGAGCGAAAGGGAUUAGAUACCCCUGUAGUCCUAGCCGUAAACGAUGACAACUAGGCGUGGUUCGUAUCGACCCGAGCCGUGCCGUAGCCAACGCGUUAAGUUGUCCGCCUGGGGAGUACGCACGCAAGUGUGAAACUCAAAGGAAUUGACGGGGGCCCGCACAAGCGGUGGAGUAUGUGGUUUAAUUCGAUGCAACGCGAAGAACCUUACCAAGGCUUGACAUCCUCGGAACCCUGAUGAAAGUUAGGGGUGCCUUCGGGAGCCGAGAGACAGGUGGUGCAUGGCUGUCGUCAGCUCGUGUCGUGAGAUGUUGGGUUAAGUCCCGCAACGAGCGCAACCCACGUUUUUAGUUGCCAGCAUUCAGUUGGGCACUCUAGAGAGACUGCCGGUGACAAACCGGAGGAAGGUGUGGAUGACGUCAAGUCAGCAUGCCCCAUACGCCUUGGGCUACACACGUACUACAAUGCGUCGGACAAAGAGCAGCCAGCCAGCGAUGGUGAGCCAAUCUCAUAAACCGGCGCUCAGUUCAGAUUGCAGGCUGCAACUCGCCUGCAUGAA